GGUGCCAGCUCCCGGGGAAGGCUUUCUCUCUCUAUCAGUUCUCAGAGAAGGUCCUGGUCAUCAAUCUUCCCUGGUCCAGGAGAUUCUCAGCUCCCAGCGCCUCUUUCUUCGUGGUAUGAGGUCCCUUCCUCUCUGCUUGAUUCUCUCUUUAAUAUCUCAAAAGAAAUUAACUCAAGAUGCAACCUAAUCCUGUAGACUGAGUCUUGCCUCAUUAACACAACUGCCUCUAAUCUUAUGUCAUUACUAUCAUAGAGAUUGGAAUUUACAGCACACAGGAUCAUCACAUCAGAUCACAAAAUGGUGGACAAUCACACAAUACUGGGAAUCAAGGCCUAGCCAAAUUGACACAUAUUUUGGGGAGACAUAAUUCAAUCCAUGACAACUAGUUUAAAUUAUUUCAAAAAUAUUCUUCACGAAAAUGCAAAGCAAAAAAAUUUAGGAUGCAAAUGUAUAAGACAGAAUGAUUCCAAUUUGGUUUAAAAAAAUGAUAUAUUUAUACACACAUAUAGAGAAAAUUUAGAAAAGAAACAUAACUAAGUGUGCCCGAGGUUAUCUCAGAAUGAUGGAUUUUCUUGAAAUUUUUAUGUUUUCUUUAUCUUUUCAUUUUCCAGAUUACUUACAGAGUUGUGUAUCACUUUUAUUAUCAUUAAAAAGCUACUCUCUGUACACCAGUGUUCAUUGCAGCACUUUUCACAAGAGCCAAAAUGUGGAAACAACAGAAAUGCCUAUCAACGAAUGGAUAAAAAAAUGUGGUACACACAUACAAUGGAAUAUUACGCAGCCACAAAGAGAGAAAGGAAGUUCUGAUGCAUGCCACAACAUGGAUGGACCUUGCAAACAUUAGGCUGAGUGAAUUAAGUCAGUUGCAAAAGGAUAAAUACUGUACAAUUUCACUUACAUGAAAAUGGAAAGAAACCUCCUAGUGGCUUCAGUGAUCAAGAUCUUAAGAAACGCAUACAGUUUUCACAGCCAUCUAUCCCGUGUGUGGACAUAAAAUACCUGAUGGCUUUGGCUGAGGGUUCUGGGGCACAGAUGCUGUUGCCAAGUAUGAUUUCACACCUUGGAGAAGACAGAUGCUCAUCUGAGAGGUUUAACAUAGAUAAUCCACUGGUGGCCAUGUUUCUUUGGAUAAUUUUAACCUCGGCCUUUAAAAAAGAAGUCACAUGGUCACCAUGUUUGGGUAUAAUUGACCAGCUGAUUUUCUUGAUGCAAAAAUCCUGGCGGAAAAAAAGGAAAAAGCAAGGAAACUUUUUUUUUUUUUUUUACAGAAA